GACAGAGGGUGCAAACGUUGUUCGGAAUUACUGGGCGUAAAGCGCGUGUAGGCUGCUCGGAAAGUCGGAUGUGAAAGCCCUGGGCUCAACCUAGGAAGUGCAUUCGAAACUUCCAAGCUGGAGUGCUGGAGAGGAAGGCGGAAUUCUCGGUGUAGAGGUGAAAUUCGUAGAUAUCGAGAGGAACACCGGUGGCGAAGGCGGCCUUCUGGACAGUAACUGACGCUGAGACGCGAAAGCGUGGGGAGCAAACAGG
rnacentral:rRNA from 1 species